rnacentral:rRNA from 1 species
UGUAUUUAUUAGAUAAAAAACCAAUGCCCUUCGGGGCUCCUUGGUGAUUCAUGAUAACUUAACGAAUCGCAUGGCCUUGUGCCGGCGAUGGUUCAUUCAAAUUUCUGCCCUAUCAACUUUCGAUGGUAGGAUAGUGGACUACCAUGGUUUCAACGGGUAACGGGGAAUUAGGGUUCUAUUCCGGAGAGGGAGCCUGAGAAACGGCUACCACAUCCAAGGAAGGCAGCAGGCGCGCAAAUUACCCAAUCCCGACACGGGGAGGUAGUGACAAUAAAUACUGAUACAGGGCUCUUUUGGGUCUUGUAAUUGGAAUGAGUACAAUUUAAAUCCCUUAACGAGGAACAAUUGGAGGGCAAGUCUGGUGCCAGCAGCCGCGGUAAUACCAGCUCCAAUAGCGUAUAUUAAAGUUGUUGCAGUUAAAAAGCUCGUAGUUGAACCUUGGGCCUGGCUGGCCGGUCCGCCUCACCGCGUGCACUGGUCCGGCCGGGUCUUUCCUCCUGGGGAGCCGCAUGCCCUUCACUGGGUGUGUCGGGGAACCAGG